UGUUUGCGUGAGGGAUUGUAGUGGAGCUCUUUUUUUUGAGAUUUUCGUUUUCGAACGGAAAUCUUGGAAAAAAAGCGGGAACGUAAAGCCCGGUCGCCG
rnacentral:sRNA from 1 species